AAGAAGGUGGGAGCUUGUCAAUGGUACAAGCAACUUGAAGGCUCUCAAUUAUACCCAUUCCCCUUAAGCCUAAUUCAUGAUAAAUCACUGUUAACUCAUGGGCUUGGUCAACUACAGGCUUGGUGUCAACCAUCUUAUAAGACAGAAAUUGACUAGCAGUAUACUUGUCCAUUCCGGCAUCUUGGAUACCAUAUUUCUUAUUAAGAUCAUCCCAAAUCUCCUUGGAGGUUUUAAAAGUGCAGUAGACAUCAAAAAGGGGAUC
rnacentral:lncRNA from 1 species